ACAUGGUCCAAAUGAACCAGUUGAGGAACAUAGUAUCUUCAACUGGUAACGACGCUGAGAUCUGGAUCGGUCUGUACGCUAAAAUUGCCUGGAUGUGGUCAGAUAGGACCACAGGACGUGGGGCUGAAUAUAGGAACUGGGAAAAUAAUACUAAUGAACCAGAUUUUUAUGGAGCCAGAGAAACAUGCGUCUCCAUUGGAGAAGAUGGAGGAUGGCAGGAUGAGAUAUGGAUACAAGAAUAUCCAUUUAUCUGUAAUAAUGGAACACAGCUAGAGCCUGAAUUUGUUCUUGUUGAUGAAGCAAUGGAUUGGGGGAGUGCUCAGGCUUGCUGCAGCCAGAACUUCACAAGCCUGGUCACUGUGAAGAACGACAUAGAGAACCAGAUGGUCCAGAGCUUUGGUGCCAAGUGGCGAUCGGGCAUGGAUUGGUUUAAGCAGGCCUAAUUGGUUUUUUUGGUCCGAUCAGAGCAGAUUCAACUUUGGCUAUUUUGACAACGUUGCAAACCCGAUUGACUCAAUGAAAGUCAUGUGUGGUGUUUUGGCUUUGAAAAGUUCAGGAAAAUUUAGGUUUUUGUCCUGUGAAACAAGCUUACCCUUUGUCUGCUACAACUUCCCUCCACCCGUAAAACAGCAGAUAAUUAAGCUGAGACUGAAUCCUGGGUCCUCUGCUCUGGAUUUGAAUGAUCCUAUUGUGAAAUCAGAAAUCCUUGAAAAAGGUAAGUCCUGAGUUUAAAUAGUUCCUUUUUUCAGCCUGAUCUCAGGCCAAUUAAGAACAAUGUUUAAUUAAAAAACAAAACAAAUAUAUUUAAAUUUGAGAAAAUGUUCUAAAUGGCUGCUGUUUGUGUCUCCC
ensembl:lncRNA